UUUUAAACUGUUAGUGUUUCUGCACCAUUUUGUUUUCCUCUUCCUACUAGUCUGUGGCGUGCAGGUCCCUAAUAUUAGUGAUGUAAACCACUUUUCGCUUGUACUCAGCAUUUAUUUUACCUGGAAGAGUUUUGUAUGCUGUUGCAACUUAUUUGUGGGACUUUGGUUCCACUUCUAUUCCUUAUGACUCCUGGUGGGUGAGAAGUCAAAACUCCAUCAAUAUAUCAAGAGUAUAGAUGGAUAAUAAAGACAGAAAAGAGUUGCUUGUUGAAAUGCUGGCACUUGAAAUGCUAAAUGAAACACCCUGAAAAAAAGAUUGAAAGUACAGGACAAGAGUGAAUCUUGAACAUCACUAUUUUCCUUUAAGCUUCUUUUUUUUGCAGUGGGCAAGCUCCCCUGCAGCCCCUCUGAACUUAUAUGUACCAACUCCGAGAUCACCACACCUUAGGAAAAAUUGAAUAUUCUGGGAAACAGCCGUCUUGGACUAAUUGUAAAUAAGCCUUUUUUUUGCCAUUUAGCAUAUGUUUUGGGACUCACUCUAGUGGGUCCUGACAUUCAAAUGGUUACCCAGAAAAGUGAUUAUUUUCAAUCUUCUUUAUGUAUUAUGUAUUUUUGUUAAUAAAGCCUACCUCACUUGCUGUUGUUUAAUGAAUAAUUGCUUAUCAAGCACAUGUAAAAGUUCUAGAACACUUGGAUUGUUGAUGAGGACUCAAGAAUGUUAAAUAUGUAAAAUGGUAGGUGCAUUGGUAGUGUACUAUCCCAUGUUUCAUAGUUUCAGGGAGAGGUCUGUCUCUUCUUGGGGAGAGAGAUGUGAUGAUUAGACAUGCAUAGCUGCUUUAUGCUUGUAUAUGCAGUGAACAUGUAUAGUAGCAUUGCCACUUUAUGAAGUAAUAUAUUAGUACUGCCAUUUUAAGAAGCAUUGUAUCCCACAAUGCACUGAGUCUGGUUUGCCAGUUCCUAGUAAUUUUACUAUGAGUGAAGAAGCUGUUAACAUUGUGCUGCCAUUUUAUGUAAAUUAAAAUUGCUGCUUUACUUCAAGUGCUAGUGUAUCUCAACAUUAUUUAUGCUUCUUAUUAGAAUGAGUAGGUAUCCAAAGGUACAUAAUGUGACAAUUUAAAACUUUGAACUCUGUGGCAUGUUCAUAUGAUGUCAUGCGCCACCCUAAUAUGUCUACAAGAACAGAGCAGUUAGUACAAAACUGUGGCCUCUGUGAUAUGUUCAUAUGAUGUUAUGUGUCAGCCUAAUAUGACUGCAUGAACAAAGAAGUUAGUACAAAAGUAAACUCUGUAGUGUGCUCAUAUUAUUCUAUGUGUCAGCCUAUGACUGAAAGAGCAGAGCAAUUAUCACUAAACUGUGAAAUCUGUGGUGUGUUCAUAAUAUGUCAUAUGUUGGUAUGAUAUGACUUUACAGAUAUGGCAUUUAGCAAAAAACUGUGAACUCUGUGGUACAUUCACAUGAUGUCAUGCAUCGGCAUAAUAUGACUUUAUGAACAGAGUAGUUUGCUCAAAACUGUGAAGUUUGUUGAUUACAUUAUAUGUGUCAGCCUAAUAUGAAUGCAAUAGCAGAGCAGUUAGUACAAAACUGUGAAGUCUGCAACAUGUUUACAUGAUGUUGUGUCAGCCUAACAUGAAUGUAUCCGCAAAGAAAUCAGUACAAAUCUCUGAAUUCUGUGGUAUGUUCAUACAAUGUCAUGUGUUGGCCUGAUGUGACUGUAUGAUCAAAUGAGUUAGUAUAAAACUGUAAUGUCAGUAGUAUGUUCACUUGAUGUCAUUUGUGACAGCCUAACAUGACUAUAUGAAAGAGAACUAGUAUCAUAAUAUGAAAUCUAUGUUAUAUUCACAUGAUAUCAUGUGAUGGACCAAUAUGACUAUAGGAACAGAACAACUGGUACAAAGCUGUGAAAUAUGUGGUACACUCACAAUGCCCUGCAUUGGCCUAAUAUGACUGUAUGAACACAGCAGUUAAUACAGAACUCUAAAGUUUGUGGCAUGUUCAAGAAUUAAAUGCAGAAAGUGGAACACACUAUCCCAUGGCAUUGCUUCAUUACCUUCACUACAGUUUGGAGAUGAUUUGUUUCCCUGUGGAACCAUUGUAAAUAAAUAUAUUGCAUGA